rnacentral:rRNA from 1 species
ACAGGGCCGCAUGGCCCGGUGUGAAAAACUCCGGUGGUGUAAGAUGGAUCCGCGUCUGAUUAGCUUGUUGGCGGGGUAGGGGCCCACCAAGGCGACGAUCAGUAGCCGGCCUGAGAGGGUGGACGGCCACAUUGGGACUGAGACACGGCCCAAACUCCUACGGAAGGCAGCAG